rnacentral:misc_RNA from 1 species
UCUCUGGGAUCCCAUCAUCAGAUCCUGGUUUCCUUAUCAUGGUACCAAACUAGGGAUAUCCUCUUUCCAAUAAAAAAAGAAUUAUCAAAAUCGGUACACCCGUAGAAAGUUAUGCGGUAUAAUACAACGUAGGUCGACGAAAAAAGCGUCAAGUAAAAACGCAUUAUUAGAUAUAACUCAAAAAGUAGUUAUUAGAUCUCAAAUAAAUUUAAAUGGGACCAAUUGGCACACACCAC